CCAAUUGCUUUGAUGAGUAGAGUAGUUAUGCAGGUAAUCCACAGCGAGUCUGAAUUUGGUGAAAUCAGAUGUUUACCGGUAAUGAAAAUGAGCUCUGAGCAUCUAGUCAGUGAAAGCUGGUUGGACGGUUGGGACCGUUAUUUCUUUCAGUAUGUAAGGUAUUUACUGGAUAAGAGAUUGCUCGCGAGGGCAAUUUGAAUAAGGGUGGCACCGCGAUUGUUAACCAAUCGCCCCUUCC
rnacentral:ncRNA from 1 species